CAUGCAGUCGAACGCCCCGAUUUAUCGGGGAGUGGCGGACGGCUGAGUAACGCGUUGGUAACCUGUCCCACAGUGGGGGAUAACCCGCCGAAAGGUGGGCUAAUACCGCAUUCGCUCCCCGGGUGAGAUUCCUGGGGAGGAAAGCCGCAAGGCGCUGAGGGAGGGGCCUGCGUCCUAUCAGGUAGUUGGUGAGGUAACGGCUCACCAAGCCGACGACGGGUAGCUGGUCUGAGAGGACGGCCAGCCAGACGGGGACUGAGACACGGCCCCGACUCCUACGGGAGGCAGCAGCGAGGAAUCUUGGGCAAUGGGCGAAAGCCUGACCCAGCGACGCCGCGUGGGGGAAGAAGGCCUUCGGGUCGUAAACCCCUUUUGCCGGGGAAGAAGCUCUGACGGUACCCGGCGAAUAAGCCACGGCUAACUACGUGCCAGCAGCCGCGGUAAUACGUAGGUGGCAAGCGUUGUCCGGAUUUACUGGGCGUAAAGGGCGUGUAGGCGGUUUGUUAAGUCCGGUGUGAAAUCUCCCGGCCCAACUGGGAUAGGUCAUCGGAUACUGGCGAACUAGAGAUGGGCAGAGGAAGGUGGAAUUCCCGGUGUAGCGGUGAAAUGCGUAGAUAU
rnacentral:rRNA from 1 species